GCCCGAGCGUCAGUGCGGCCUGGCGAGGCGCAGAGAGAGCAGGGACUCUCGCAGUGCUCGCUGUUAACGCACAUGAUGUCCGAUAGGAAGCGGAAGGCCUCCAGCUCGGAGGAGCCAGUGUGUGCGCUGUGUGGCCAGGCAGAUGUCGACCCGGACAUCUGCGGGCACACACUUUUUGAGACUGGGAUUCGUGUCCAUGAGUUCUGCUUGACGUCUGCCAACAUCACGGCUAAAGCAAGACCAGGAAUUGAGGUCCUCCCGCUUGCUGCCAUCGCACGCAAGGUCAGGCAGGCAAACAAGAAGCAAUGCUGUGUUUGCGGCGAGAGGGGGGCUGCCGUCACAUGCGCAGAGAGAGGCUGUGCACGCAGCUUCCACCUGCCCUGUGCCAAGGACGGGGAAUGCAUCACCCAGUACUUUGGAGACUACAGGUCCUUCUGCUGGGAGCACCGCCCUCAACAGGCCACUCAGGAAGCUCCAGCAGAAGGCACCAUCUGCCUCAUCUGCUUGGAGCCUGUGGGGGACAGCUUGUCCUACCACACCAUGGUGUGCCCAGCCUGCAAACACGUCUGGUUCCACCGGGGCUGCAUCCAGGUAGGAGCCCACCCCGCACCCUGCAGGCACGCUCGGUGCUCAGCAGCACCAGGCACUGCUCAUGCUCACCCUGCUUGUGCUUCUCCUGCAGCAACAGGCCUUGAGUGCUGGCACUGCGUACUUCGAGUGCCCCGGUUGCCGAGACUACAUUCUCUUCUGUGAAGAGAUGUCCAACAUGGGGAUCCACAUCCCAUUAAGAGACGCAUCGUGGGAGGACGAUGAGUCCUACGAACCACUUGUAGAGAUGCACAGCCGCUGCGACGCCAGCCAGUGCCUUUACCACGGAGGCAGAGAGCAGGCACAGAGCAGGGGGCCCUGGGAGCUGAUCCUGUGCAGCUCCUGUGCUGCUGAGGGCACCCAUCGACAGUGCUCCCACUUGAGCAACACCACAGACAUGUGGGAGUGCAACAGCUGUGCUGGCCUGGCUACCGGUAAGAGGCAAUCAGACGCGUGGCACCGCGCUGGGGCCAGGCAAGGCCUGGCAGCAACUGCUUGGGGCACCAUUGCCAGAGUCUGUCUGCCCCAAGUGGGAUGGCAGAUCCCUCUGGGGCGCUGCAGCUCCAGACUCAUGACCUUCCUGCCUCCCCUUACAGCCUCCAGCGCCGACGCUGAGUUCGCCGGUCCCAGCACUGCCAGCCAGACGGCUCCGGGUCCAUCCAGCAGCUCCAUGGAGCCUGAGACCUUUGGCUCCAUGCCCGCCAGCCAGGAAGCGUUGGGGACAUCACAGAGCUCCCAGCUGCCUGAGCACAGUGACCUGCCGAGCGUGCCUGAGACAGAGCAGGGGACAAACGGCGCACGUUUAUCGGAGGAGCGGGCUACCCCUGAGCAGCUGCGAGGACGCCGUGGGAGCAGGCGAACAGCAGCCCCACGUGCUGACAGCGACUCCCACACAUCCACCAGGCGGAGGGCAUCAGGCUCCUCCAGGGCGUCUCCGGCAGCCGCACGCAGAAGACGGCGCAGGCAGCGAGGAAGAAGCCGCUCACGAAGCCGCUCCCCGCUGCAACGUCGGGACCCGAGCUCCCAGAGCCGGCCAAGAAGACGCCGUGGCAGCAGGCGAAGGCCAGCCUCAAGGGAGCAGAGCGGCACCCGCAGAUCAACAAGAUCUGCAACAUCGAGAUCCCCGAUGGCUUCCAGAGUGCCCCGACGCAGGGGACCGUCCAGGCAAGGAGGGCGGGCCCUCAGCCAAAGUCCUCCUC